rnacentral:ribozyme from 1 species
UGCUCAGCAACUCCUAUCCCUACCUCCACGCGGUACCGGCCGGAAACUAUGAGCAACCUUAGGGAAGAUCGGGUAACCAAUCCCGGUGGGAACUUUGGUCGUAGGCUGACAGGGAAGG